rnacentral:rRNA from 1 species
UACGUAGGCAGCAAGCGUUGUUCGGAAUUACUGGGCGUAAAGAGUGUGUAGGCGGUGCUCUAAGUCUGUUGUGAAAUCUCCCGGCUUAACUGGGAGGGUGCAGCGGAAACUGGAAUGCUCGAGUAUGGGAGAGGUAAGCGGAAUUCCUGGUGUAGCGGUGAAAUGCGUAGAUAUCAGGAGGAACACCUGUGGUGUAGACAGCUUACUGGACCAUCACUGACGCUGAGACACGAAAGCGUGGGUAGCAAACAGG